rnacentral:rRNA from 1 species
UACGUAGGGUGCGAGCGUUAAUCGGAAUUACUGGGCGUAAAGCGUGCGCAGGCGGUUCGACAAGUCCGAUGUGAAAGCCCCGGGCUCAACCUGGGAACCGCGCUUGAGACUGGAGAACUAGAGUUCGGGAGAGGAUGGUGGAAUUCCCAGUGUAGAGGUGAAAUUCGUAGAUAUUGGGAAGAACACCGAUGGCGAAGGCAGCCAUCUGGACCGACACUGACGCUGAGGCGCGAAAGCGUGGGGAGCAAACAGG